GGUAAUGUCUCCCCGCCGUUAUCAAUGGAGGCACUCGGUUACACUGUGGGUAAUAAGCCAUAUUACCUUAGACGCAUGUCGUCGAGAGUGUGAUGUGAGGUCGGGUUAGAUGCCC
rnacentral:ncRNA from 1 species